UCCGUUUGAUUUAUUACUUUCUGAGUUUGACAGAAACGAGCCUGAUUAAACAACAAAUAAUAACGGAAUGAAAGUAAGUUGAAAACGCUUAACGCAUAUCAUCAUUAAGGACUUUUUGAGAAAACCCAUAGCCUUGCUAUAAUUAACAGACCUCAGUUCAAGAAAAAAUCAUGCACAAGAUUUUAAUUAUUCUGUUACUUUUUGCGAUUGUUGGUACCGCUUAUAUGAAAUGUACAACUGACUGCAGAUUCCCUCAAUGCAUACAAGAUUGCGACAUAAAUGAAAAAGAUAUAAGAGGAGAAUGUUCUUGUUGUGCAGUAUGUGUACCUUUGAAUGAAAAAUGAUAUGAAAUAUUAUAGAAAAAAUGAUGAUAUCGAUUGCAAUGUUAGCAAGAAAUGGAAAAAUGAAAGAUAAUGUGACAUAAAGCUUCCAAACAAAUAAAAUUAUUUGAUUCUAAA